CAAAAAAAAGAAACUCGAUCUGAAAGGAACUUCGUGCUGAUUCGAGUCGGUGGAGGAGGUGGCGACUACAAGGCGACUCGCAACAAGGUCUAACUCGGAGUAAUGGUGUGAGACAUAUCAUGGGUUCAGUGGUUAGUGAGGUUAGUUGAAUUUGGAGGUUACUUGAUCCUUAUUUUUUCUAAUUUCUUGUUAUGCUUGUGUCUUGGGUUGGGAGAUUUUGGGAAAAAUUUGAUAGCACUGAAUGUCUUAUUGCAGCAUGUUGAGGUUCCGAACCCAUUUUUGAUAGGAAGAUGUUUCGCAUGUAUUGGGAUUUGGGGCAUGGGGUGGAAUUGGAAAAGUAGCGAUUGCAUAUAUAUCUCUGUGGGUUCUUGUAAUUGAACAUGAUCUGCCAGCUUCUAGUCUUAGUAGUAAACAAGUAGGAAGUACUAAACUAGAUGGUGCCUAAAUUGAAUUAAUCUUACACAUGUAGUGAUACUAAUUUGGGCUUAAAAAUAUAAACUUUUAUUGAAGUCAUUAGUGAGAUUGAUAUGCCAUUGUCUAUAUUUUGCAGUGUUAAUGAAUUGAUGCCUCUUGAUACGAGUUUACAACUGGAAGUCUAUUCGAUUUCUCUUUUGUCUAGAACCACUUCUUUUUUGCUGUUGGGCGCUUCCUAUUUGCUGAUUUCGGUGAGUAGUUUGUGUUCUAUUUUGUAUUGGAAUGGUAUUUUUUUUUUUGUUUUGAUUUUGGAAGAUUCAGGUCCAAUCGAUUUUUAAUUUUUUUAAAUUUUGUUUCAGCUUUUUCUGUUCACUCUCUUCCCGUUGCUGUUGCUGCUCUCCGGUUUUGUUGUUCACUCUGCAUGCAUCGAUUGGCUCUUCUUUGCCUAUUUGGGUGAGUUGCUUCUUAUGUUUUUUUAUAUUUUCUUUUAUUUUUUACUCUUGAAUUUGUUUUUUAGCUUUUUUAGUUCUUCAUAUUUUUUGUUCAAAUCCUUUUGAGUUUGGUUAUUUGCAUAAUUGGUUUGUCUUAUAUGCAUAUGGUGGAUGUUUGAGCAUAGAAUAAAUUAGACAGUUGAUGCAUAUGAUGCACAAACCACAAAUUGCAGAAUGUUUGAAUCAUUUGUUAAAUGAUAUUUUAGUUCCCAUGCUUUUUUAGUUCCAUAUUCUGGUUGUGGAUGAUAGCAUCAUACAUAGGGUCGGCAAACACAAUAUCUGCACUGUUUCAGAUUUGCGAUCACCAUCAGUUGUCGCAAGGAUUGGGAGUCUAUGCAAAGGAGUAUCUGGAUUAUUCUUUUGCCUCUGUUCCUGGUUUUGUUGCUUGGUGUUAGUUUGGUGUCCUAUUGUUGUUCAGAUAUUGGGAACAGUGAGCGAUCAAAAUCUACAAAUUUUCUAGACUCAGUAUGAAGCGAACUAUUGCACGAUACAACAAGGGUGAUGAGUCUUCAGAGACCGCUCUGGUAGAAUCAAGGGCAGAGCCUACCCUAUGUGCAGAAAAAUUCCAAGACAUUUGACAGAAGCAUCAUUGUCAGGUGCAGGAGUGUCUACAGUAGCAGCUCUUGCCAUGAUGUUUUUACUUUGGAAUGGUAGGGAAAGCUUUUUUGAAGCAGCUGAAAGUGUUCCUGAGGUGAAUUUUUUCAACUUAUUUCUCUGUUAUUUAGAUUUGGUUGUAUGGAAUUCAAUUGUGAUUUGUGUUGUUAACGAUUUUGUGAGAGUUUUGGAUGAAAGAAAGCAGGGAAAGUUUUGAUUCUCUCUGAUAUGGAAGUACUCCUUGAUUAAUGAUUAGGAUUACUUCUGCUACCCUCUUGCAAUUUCAAAAUCGAAGUAGAAUUAAACUUCUGGAUUCUGCCUUACAUGACAGAUUUUGUCUGACCACUUUGGUGGCAAUUUUUGCAUCCCUUGGAUUUUCAGUUGAUGCCAUGGAGAUUGGUGAAUAAGCUUGAGCUUGAUGAGCUCAAGUUAGAACAUCAUUCACCAUAUGUAUCAGUUCAAAAUCCGUCUGCGAAUUUCAGCAUUGGUGGAUAACACACAGUCACAUCAUGAAAAGGAAAAUUAAAAUAUGCCAAGGGAUCCAUUCACUUCCAAUUGUCAUGACCGAGACAGAGAGGAAGACUUGAGAAAUACAGAGAUAAGGCGUGCUUAUCCCAGAUUGCACAUUUUACAUCAGUUUCCAGAACCUUCCUACACCAUGCAUCCUCUGCAAAUAGAAGUUCUGUAGAUUUGUAAACUUCGGCAUUAAUAGUACAGGAUGUACUCCUUUUCUAAUGAUUGCUAUUGUAUAGUAUAUUUUAGGAGGAUUUAUUAACGAGGUAUGUUCAGAACUCUAA